ensembl:lncRNA
UUUUUUUUUUUUUUAAUGCCCAAUAUUGCAGGGACUCGGCUGAUUCAUACAAGAGGAAAGCAAAUGAGCAUGAGGUGUGUACAGAACAGGCUACCGAAGACAUGAUUCACUGAGUUUAAGAAAACAGAACUUAAGGGGAGAUGAAAGGCAGGACUCUGAGGACCUUAACUUCAGAGACUUUCCAGAGCAUAAGGUUCAACAUUUACUGUCAAACCCAACUUUUGACUAAGCCAUUUACACUUUCUGAGUAACUGCAUAAUUUUCAUUUGUGUCUAUUCACUUUUUAAAUUUUAUUUUUACUUUAUUUUAAAAUUUUCAUUUGUUUCUUUUUGGGCCAUGGCAUGUGGAAGUUCCUAGGACAGAGAUCAAACCCUCACCACAACAGCAAUCCAAGCCACAGCAGUGACAAUGCUGGACCUUAACCUGCUGCACCACCAGGGAACUCCUAUUCACCUUUAUUUUUUUUGCCUUUAAAAAAAAGAACUAGACACUAAUUUUAAGAAAAUAGAACCAACUCCGGAGCCUCCUGUAAUAAUAAAUCUUGGAGUUCCCUGGUGGCUCAGCAGGUUAAGGACCUGCCCUUGUCACUGCUGUUGUUCUGGUCACUGAUGUGGCAUGGGUUCAAUCUCUAGCCCAGGAACUUCCACAUAAUGUGGGCAUGCGCCCCCCAAAAUAAUAAAUAAAUCUUUAUAUUUCUAUAAUACUUUGUAGUUUACAAAGCAUAUUAUCUCAUCUGAUUCUUGUACAAACCUUCUGAGGUUGAUAUUUUUAUUACCCACAUUUUACAGAAAAGGAAUGAAAGCUCACCAAGCACAGAGGUUUAGAGACUUUUCCAAAAGUAGGACAACUAAGAGUUGAACCCAGGUCUACAUAAUCCAGAGUGCAGGCUUACAAACAAACAAACAAACAAACAAACAAAACCAACCCCAGAGUCCUAUUCCUUAGCUCUUUGUGAAAGCACUGUAAUGCAAAAUUCAAGGUAAAUUUCAUCUUAAGCUUCUUUUUUUUGUUAUUGUUCCAAAGAUGCCAGAAAUCCUGGAAGCUCUUGUUAGGACAUGGCCUCUCCCAUAACAUGGAGUCUUCGAGAUGGUUCUGCAUAGUGAUGUUUAAAUUGGAGUAGCACGAUCGAUGCAAUACUGGAUGGAACUUCUCUUUGCACCCAUCAAGUAAAAUAAAUAAACAAGCCGAAAAAACCUACUUUUUAAAAACUGAAUAUUGGUCCACCUUAGGACAUGCACCCUUUUCCUAUGCAAAAGAGAAAGAAAUACACCCUAGGGAAAGAGGAUAGGAACUUUAAGCUCUUGGCAUCAGAGACUAGAUGGCUGUGGGUGGACCUGCUAGUACUCCAGUCUAUGCAAUGUUUGGGAAGAUCAGAUGAGUCCCUGCAGAUGAAAGUACUUCUGCAAACUGUAGGGUUCCAUGGGGGUGCGACUGUUACCUUCAGAUGAGAAGAAAGCCUGUCACCUUCAGAUGCAAAUAAACUUGUUCAGAUAGGCAAGCACUGUCCAGACUUACACUUGUAUUUAGGAAACACUUUAGACAUAUAUGAGAAUCUUAAUAAGAGCUGGUUUGAAGUGUCUCUAGGCAUCACUCUAAACCCUCCCCCAACCAAAUUAUUGUAUUUAUUCUCAAAGCCCUUUCCAUUCAGCAUGAAUUACCUUCUCCUAUACUUUUAAAAAAUCAUGUAAGUUUAACUCUGGGUGGUCUCAUGGACCAAAGCCCCUCUGUUACUCCCCUGAACCUCUCUCCCAUCAGCCUGGAGCCUUUGGGUUUAAGUGCCCAUGAGGCAGGAUCCUGGCUGGGGCUACCUGAGCAACUGUCCAUAUGGAAGGGGAUCUGGUUGGAAAAGUGAUCUCUCUGGGGGUAUAACCACCUCAAGAUUAAAAGAAGCAAGAUUGGUUCUAAAGGGUCAAAUCUUAGAAACCCCAGAAGCUACCUAAUAUGUGCAUCACUCGGAGUGGGAGGUAGAAGGGUAAAAAGAUGCGUGGCAGGGGGUCAGGAAGAGGGAGUGGAACUUGCCAAUGGAAAGGGUGCUUCAGGGGCUAAGCCCUUGAGCUCUGGGCAUCUGCCAGCAUGAUUUCUUUCAGUUUUAAUGUUUGAACUGGAGUGAUCCAUUAGGUGGGUCAUGUUAGGACACACAGAAUAAGUAGACCUCUUAUAAUUUCUUAAUUAUUCGUCAAAUUAUAUUUUGGUUCAUCUGAUUAGUGUGCAUUCUUCUUUAUAAUCUUUUUUUUUUUUUUUUAAGGCUGCACCUUCAGCAUAUGGAAAUUCCCGGGCUAGGGGUUGAAUCAGAGCUGUAGCUGCUGGCCUAUGCCACACCACAGCAACGUGGGAUCUGAGCCUAGUCUGUGACCUACACCACAGCUCACAGCCAGAUCCUUAACCCACCGAGCAGGGCCAGGGAUCAAACUUGCAUCCUCAUAAAUAUUAGUCAGGUUCUUAACCCACUGUGCCACCACAGGAACUCCUAUAAUGUUUUUAAAGGUAUGCAAUCUUCACGACAGAUGCAGUUUUAUAUCAAACUCAAGGCUCCAAAGUCCAAAUGUGUUGUCUCCAUCUGCUUGGAUGGGAUGAGAUCAGCCAAGGAUGGCACUGAGGCUGAGUAGCAGGGCUUCCUGGAGAUUGCACCUGGUGAGGGUGCGUGGGUGAGGAAGAGGGUGGGGGAUCACUCCAGCGCAAGGUCAGACUAGGGGUGAACUAUGCAGGCCCGUAAAUUUCUCCUAAUCAACACUCCAGGAUCAUUUAGUCCUUGGGCACCAAUUCAUAAAUGCCUUAACUCACGAGGGGCUGAAGAAUAAAGAAGAUUGACUAUUUACAGCCACUAAAAUGUACACACUCUCUGUUUAGUUAACUCUCUUCCAAGUAAUGGGGUUUUUGGGAAAGUGAAUCUGUUGUCAAACUAUGGACUUAGCAAGGAAGGGUCUGGAGGGGAGAUUCUUCUCUGCUCCCGGAGACCAGAACUCCCCACGCCUCCCUUCCUGAACCAUGCUGCAAACACCAAGAGUUCCUGUUCUCAGAAUCUCCUUUCUCUAGACUCUAGGUCCGGCUCUCACCUGUCCCUUCAGAUAGGUUGACCCCGCAGAGGAGACUCUAGAGUCCCUCAUUUUCAUUCACAGACCUCAACGCCCAGACUGGAAUUUCACCCUUGCCUUUCCAGCUCUGCUCAAGCAACAUCCUUGAGCCCUAAAGCCAUUUCCAGCUAUUUCAUCC